rnacentral:rRNA from 1 species
UACGUAGGGGGCGAGCGUUGUCCGGAUUUAUUGGGCGUAAAGAGCGUGUAGGCGGCCAGGUAGGUCUGCUGUGAAAACUCGAGGCUCAACCUCGAGACGUCGGCGGAAACCAUCUGGCUAGAGUCCGGAAGAGGAGAGUGGAAUUCCUGGUGUAGCGGUGAAAUGCGCAGAUAUCAGGAAGAACACCCGUGGCGAAGGCGGCUCUCUGGGACGGUACUGACGCUGAGACGCGAAAAGCGUGGGGAGCGAACAGG